GAGGAAAGCGGGAGGUGUGAAUAAUACAUGCAAGUCGAGCGAACAGACGAGGAGCUUGCUCCUCUGACGUUAGCGGCGGACGGGUGAGUAACACGUGGAUAACCUACCUAUAAGACUGGGAUAACUUCGGGAAACCGGAGCUAAUACCGGAUAAUAUAUUGAACCGCAUGGUUCAAUAGUAAAAGACGGUUUUGCUGUCACUUAUAGAUGGAUCCGCGCCGCAUUAGCUAGUUGGUAAGGUAACGGCUUACCAAGGCAACGAUGCGUAGCCGACCUGAGAGGGUGAUCGGCCACACUGGAACUGAGACACGGUCCAGACUCCUACGGGAGGCAGCAGUAGGGAAUCUUCCGCAAUGGGCGAAAGCCUGACGGAGCAACGCCGCGUGAGUGAUGAAGGUCUUCGGAUCGUAAAACUCUGUUAUUAGGGAAGAACAAAUGUGUAAGUAACUAUGCACGUCUUGACGGUACCUAAUCAGAAAGCCACGGCUAACUACGUG
rnacentral:rRNA from 1 species